rnacentral:rRNA from 1 species
UGGGGAAUAUUGGGCAAUGGGGGAAACCCUGACCCAGCAACGCCGCGUGAGGGAAGAAGGCCUUCGGGUUGUAAACCUCUGUCCUCAAGGAAGAAAGAAAUGACGGUACUUGAGGAGGAAGCCCCGGCUAACUACGUGCCAGCAGCCGCGGUAAUACGUAGGGGGCGAGCGUUGUCCGGAAUUACUGGGCGUAAAGGGUGCGUAGGCGGCAGCCUAAGUUGGAUGUGAAAUACCCGGGCUUAACCUGGGGGGUGCAUUCAAAACUGGGCAGCUAGAGUGCAGGAGAGGGAAGCGGAAUUCCUAGUGUAGCGGUGAAAUGCGUAGAUAUUAGGAGGAACACCAGUGGCGAAGGCGGCUUUCUGGACUGUAACUGACGCUGAGGCACGAAAGCGUGGGGAGCAAACA